UGGUGGAGUGAUUUGUCUGGUUAAUUCCGUUAACGAACGAGACCUUAACCUAUUAAUUAGUGACGCGAAUUUGGGUGGGCAACCAUCCAGUCGAUUCGUGGGCGCACUUCUUAGAGGGACUCUCGGCAUCUCUAGCCGAUGGAAGUUUGAGGCAAAAACA
rnacentral:rRNA from 1 species